rnacentral:lncRNA from 1 species
AAAGUGAUCAUUAGUUUCAGAGGCUGCUUGUUGGAUAUAUCCUGCGAAGAAAAACAAACUGAGACUAAUUUGCAAAAUUGCAGCAAUCAAACUAAAAAUCUAAAUGCCAGCAAUCUAGGGAAGACAACUUAGUCUCUGUUUGGGAAUUAGCGGUUAGCUGUUAGCGGAGUAAAUUAGAUGUCUUGACUAGCUGAUUGAAAUAGAUAUUUUGACUAGCGGAUUGAAUUAGCGGUUUCUUGUAAAACUGUUUGGUAAAUAGCUGUUUGAUUAGCUUUUUAUGACACAUACCAAAACCUCUAACCUAAAAAGCUCCUCAAAGAAUAGCUGUUUGAUUAGCUUUUUAUGACACAUACCAAAACCUCUAACCUAAAAAGCUCCUCAAAGUAGCUUUUUGAAAAUUAGCU